GACGAACGCUGGCGGCGUGCUUAACACAUGCAAGUCGAACGGAAAGGCCCUGCUUUUGUGGGGUGCUCGAGUGGCGAACGGGUGAGUAACACGUGAGUAACCUGCCCUUGACUUUGGGAUAACUUCAGGAAACUGGGGCUAAUACCGGAUAGGAGCUCCUGCUGCAUGGUGGGGGUUGGAAAGUUUCGGCGGUUGGGGAUGGACUCGCGGCUUAUCAGCUUGUUGGUGGGGUAGUGGCUUACCAAGGCUUUGACGGGUAGCCGGCCUGAGAGGGUGACCGGCCACAUUGGGACUGAGAUACGGCCCAGACUCCUACGGGAGGCAGCAGUGGGGAAUAUUGCACAAUGGGCGGAAGCCUGAUGCAGCAACGCCGCGUGCGGUAUGACGGCCUUCGGUUUGUAAACCGCUUUCGCCUGUGACGAAGCGUGAGUGACGGUAAUGGGUAAAGAAGCUCCGGCUAACUACGUG
rnacentral:rRNA from 1 species